UAAGUAUUCCCUCCGUUCGGAAUUAUUUGUCUUGAAAAUGGAUGUAUCUAGAAUUAAAAUACAUCUAGAUACAUCCAUUUCUACUACAAGUAAUUUCGAACGGAGGGAGUAUAAU
rnacentral:pre_miRNA from 1 species